AUGCAUGACUCAAGUUCAUCCCCCGAAUCCCACGGGGGAUCACUCCAUGAACCCCCUGGAGACCUUGGCUUAAACCCCACUAACACCUCUACGCCUUUACCUAGCCCACAAUCUACCCCUACCACUCUUAUAAAUGCGAAUAGAUCUAGUACGUCUGAUCCUUCUAGAAAGGCAUUCAUUGUCAGAGAUAAAUCUAGCCUAAGAUACCAGCCAAAUUCACCUGCUCCUUUCAUCGUAGCAAUAGCAAAAGAAGGCAUAGGAAAUAAGCACCCAACGUUAAUUGGAGAACUUUUCUAUAAAAAUAAGGUUGAAGGAAUUAAAUCUAUUUCCAGAGUGAAUAAAGACGUUAUUAAUGUGGAACUAAUCUCUAAGAGCUAUGCCAACAACCUGGUGGACAAGCAAACCUCUCUCAUUCCGUAUGACCACUUUUCCUGCUACAUUCCUCUCAAAUAUACCACUCGAAGAAUCAUUGCGAAUAAUGUACACCAUGAGUUAGACAUUGAUAGUAUAGGCGAAUUUCUUGAAGAAAAAUAUGACAAUAUCAUAAGCGUUAGAAGAAUUUUUAGGAAAAAUGAGGAUAAUGCUUUAAUCCCAACCUCUAAACUAGAUAUUCUUUGGCAAGGUUCGACCAUGCCUGAUUUCCUUUAUAUUUUUUACGCCAAAUGUAACGUUACUCCUUAUAUCUACAAUGUAACCAAAUGCCUAAACUGCCUAAAUUAUGGUCAUCGUGCCGAGUAUAACGGGAACCUAACUUGUAAAAGCCAGAAACGAUGUCAAAAAUGUGCUACUCUACAUGUAGCUCAAGAUAUAUGUCCACACCCGGUGAAAUGUUUCCACUGUUCCGAAAAUCACCUCACUUUCUCCCCUGAAUGCCCUGAACUAAUAAAACAAAAAACUAUUAAAGAAAUAAUGGCUCACCAGAACAUAUCCUACGCAGUAGCGUUAAAGAUUUUUAAUGUUCAACAAUCGGAACCCUCAACUUCAAACAUUAAUGAACGCAUUCAAAAUAUCCAAAAGAACUCAAGGAAUAACGAAAGAAAUUCUCUUGAGGUAUUACAAGACGCUAAUUUUCCUCCCGUAAAUAAUUCUUUCUCUAAUCUAGCUGAACCUAUGGAUGUAGUUAACACUUAUAGGUAUUCUUUGGAAGACCUGAGGAGACCUUAUGCUGAGGCAGUGGCCUCCCCCUCUCCCACUAGGAAAAAAUCCAAACCCUCCUUUGACGACUCUCUCCCUUCUGCCGAAUGGAUCAAAAAAAUAUAG
rnacentral:lncRNA from 1 species